rnacentral:rRNA from 1 species
AGAGUUUGAUCAUGGCUCAGGACGAACGCUGGCGGCGUGCCUAAUACAUGCAAGUAGAACGCUGAGGUUUGGUGUUUACACUAGACUGAUGAGUUGCGAACGGGUGAGUAACGCGUAGGUAACCUGCCUCAUAGCGGGGGAUAACUAUUGGAAACGAUAGCUAAUACCGCAUGAGAGUAAUUAACACAUGUUAGUUAUUUAAAAGGAGCAACUGCUUCACUGUGAGAUGGACCUGCGUUGUAUUAGCUAGUUGGUGAGGUAAAGGCUCACCAAGGCGACGAUACAUAGCCGACCUGAGAGGGUGAUCGGCCACACUGGGACUGAGACACGGCCCAGACUCCUACGGGAGGCAGCAGUAGGGAAUCUUCGGCAAUGGACGGAAGUCUGACCGAGCAACGCCGCGUGAGUGAAGAAGGUUUUCGGAUCGUAAAGCUCUGUUGUUAGAGAAGAACGUUGGUAGGAGUGGAAAAUCUACCAAGUGACGGUAACUAACCAGAAAGGGACGGCUAACUACGUGCCAGCAGCCGCGGUAAUACGUAGGUCCCGAGCGUUGUCCGGAUUUAUUGGGCGUAAAGCGAGCGCAGGCGGUUCUUUAAGUCUGAAGUUAAAGGCAGUGGCUUAACCAUUGUACGCUUUGGAAACUGGAGGACUUGAGUGCAGAAGGGGAGAGUGGAAUUCCAUGUGUAGCGGUGAAAUGCGUAGAUAUAUGGAGGAACACCGGUGGCGAAAGCGGCUCUCUGGUCUGUAACUGACGCUGAGGCUCGAAAGCGUGGGGAGCAAACAGGAUUAGAUACCCUGGUAGUCCACGCCGUAAACGAUGAGUGCUAGGUGUUAGGCCCUUUCCGGGGCUUAGUGCCGCAGCUAACGCAUUAAGCACUCCGCCUGGGGAGUACGACCGCAAGUUUGAAACUCAAAGGAAUUGACGGGGGCCCGCACAAGCGGUGGAGCAUGUGUUUAAUUCGAAGCAACGCGAGGACCUUACCAGUCUUGACAUCCUUCUGACCGCUUAGAGAUAGCUUUCUCUUCGAGCAGAUUGACAGUGGUGCAUGAUGUCGUUCAGCUCUUCCUGAAUGUUGGCUUUAAGUUCGCAACGAGCGCACCCUAUGUCAGUUGCAUCAUUAGUUGGCACCUUCUAUAG